GAUGAACGCUGGCGGCGUGCUUAACACAUGCAAGUCGAGCGAAGCGCUUAUGAUGAUUCUUCGGAUGAAUCAUUUGUGACUGAGCGGCGGACGGGUGAGUAACGCGUGAGUAACCUGCCUCAUACAGGGGAAUAACAGUUAGAAAUGACUGCUAAUGCCGCAUAAGCGCACAGGGCCACAUGGCCCGGUGUGAAAAACUCCGGUGGUAUGAGAUGGACUCGCGUCUGAUUAGCUAGUUGGUGAGGUAACGGCCCACCAAGGCGACGAUCAGUAGCCGGCCUGAGAGGGUGAACGGCCACAUUGGGACUGAGACACGGCCCAAACUCCUACGGGAGGCAGCAGUGGGGAAUAUUGCACAAUGGGGGAAACCCUGAUGCAGCGACGCCGCGUGAGUGAAGAAGUAUUUCGGUAUGUAAAGCUCUAUCAGCAGGGAAGAAAAUGACGGUACCUGACUAAGAAGCCCCGGCUAACUACGUGC
rnacentral:rRNA from 1 species